UACGUAGGGUGCGAGCGUUAAUCGGAAUUACUGGGCGUAAAGCGUGCGCAGGCGGUUUUGUAAGUCAGAUGUGAAAUCCCCGGGCUUAACCUGGGAACUGCGUUUGAAACUACAAGGCUAGAGUGUGGCAGAGGGGGGUGGAAUUCCACGUGUAGCAGUGAAAUGCGUAGAGAUGUGGAGGAACACCAAUGGCGAAGGCAGCCCCCUGGGUUAACACUGACGCUCAGGCACGAAAGCGUGGGGAGCAAACAGG
rnacentral:rRNA from 1 species